UACAGAGACUGCAAGCGUUAUUCGGAUUCACUGGGCGUAAAGGGUGCGCAGGCGGCCGGGUGUGUCAGAUGUGAAAUCCCGAGGCUUAACCUCGGAACUGCGUCUGAAACUACUCGGCUAGAGUACUGGAGAGGGUAACGGAAUUCACGGUGUAGCAGUGAAAUGCGUAGAUAUCGUGAGGAACACCAGAGGCGAAGGCGGUUACCUGGACAGUUACUGACGCUCAGGCACGAAAGCCAUGGGGAGCAAAAGGG
rnacentral:rRNA from 1 species